UUUCUCUUGGCAUUGAACUUGGGCUUCUCCUGCAUGAAUUGGGCUUUGUGGGGAGCAUUGGGUUUGUUAUUGUUAGUCAAAUUAACAGACCAUUGAUGGUUGUUAAUUUUGUUGAGAUUAUUCUUGGUAUUGUAUUAAAAGUUUUUGUUUCAAGGAACUUACGAGAAUUUGCAUCAAACAUUUUUACCUGAAUUCCUUGUGUUGAAUCGCCAUAAAUUCCUUGCACCUUUUGUCAUUCUGGUUUGGCCUUGCAUUGAUGGAUGGGACGGUUUCUUUCUCCUUGGGAAAGUUACCAUCUUCCAUUCAUCCUUUUCAUCCAGUUUAUUGCGUGCUUCAGAGCAUUCAAGUUGUUCCUAUGAAGGGGUUGGUGGUUUAGGCUUAUGUGCACAUGUUUUUAGGGUGUGCCCUAUCCUUCUACAUCUUUUACAUAAAAUUCCUUCUCCUUCAUAGAUUAUAGAUUGUUUAUGAUCACCGACAAUGAUUGAUGUUUCCAUUGGAGUUUCAAGAGGUACUUGAAUGCAAACACAUGCUCCCUCUCAAGGUAGAAGAUCACUACAAAAAAGGAGGAAAAUUGCAGAGAGUUACAUAUGGCGGUUCACCAAAACCGCCAUAAGACACCAUAUUGUGGGGCGGCUUUCAAUCCCCCAUGCCAGACAUUUGUAAAACAGCGAUUUAACUGUAUUUUACGGUGCUUUAAACCGCCACUGCUUAUAUUUUCAUUUUUAACAUAAUUUCUGGUUUAUUUCAAAUAUGCUAGACAUAUAAUACUCACAAAUAAACGAAUCCUAGAUCUAUGUAUUCUGCUUCUCCUUCCCACGAAAUCUUGCUCAAAUCUGGAUCAUUGACGCGGUGAAUCCCUCUCAUCUCCUCUCCUUUUCUAAUCUCUCAUUUCCAUCUCCUCUUCUUGCUAGGCUCGCAAAUAGUUCGCUAACCUCUAUCGUGCCAGGUACGAUUUUUUGUUGCUUGUUUCUUUUUAGAUUUUAUAUUUCUGGUGUUGUAAGGAACCAAUUUCUUAUGAUUGAAAUUUUUUAGAAGUCCUAUUGGUUUGGUUAGAACUUGUCCCUCAGUGUAGGGAUGGGAGUACCCUUAGUUGGACGUUCAAUGAUAUAAUAGCAGGGAAACGAAAAAUGUACAGAGGAUUGUAUAGUGGUUGUUACUAGUUUAGGAUCAAUGCAUAGUUGAUGAUUAAAUCAACAGUUGUGUGGUGCCGUAGUGUUUCAUGGUCAUUUAUAUCUCCUUAUGCGAGCUAUGAAAUUCUGCAUAGGCUAACCUUGCUAGCCAUUUCAGUGGAUUUUUUUGCAUAGGCUAACUUCACUAGUAUAUUCACUAAUCAAGGUUAAUACAUAGAUUCAAGGAGUAAUGUGGUUUUGCUGAUCAAUCAUGUACAUUAUCAAGCAUUCAAUUUGCAUUUCCUUAAGUCUAAGGUUAGUUUAUCUAAUUCCUUCUUUUUCAUGCUAUAUCUAUAUUAAGUAUGUGCGCAAAUCGAAUCUGUGGUGUCACGAAUUUAAUCUAUUGUUAUAAUUCUGCAAUUAGGAGAGUGGCAUAACUCCUCGAGCCCUAAGAUGGAAUAAGAUGACUUGAUCCCCACAAAGUGUUUGACAAUAUGCUUCACUGAAAACAUAAAUUUUUUUCAUCUCUGUGGGGAUUAGAUAAUGUUUGAAAAUAAUAUUAAAUGUUGAUCAUGAUCUUCGCAUUGAUUAAUUGUCAAGGAAUAUCAAUUUGGGUCUUGAUGAAAAGAAGAAUCAAGUGGUUUUCUCAUUUAACUUACCUAUCUGUGGGAUAAUGUUUUACUUGAUUUGAGGUGUUCUUUAUGAUUAAUAUCUAUGUUGUUGGUUGCUUAACUAUAAGUCUAGUCUGGAUUAGAAAUUUAGCGUGAAUUGAAGCUUGGUAGAAUUGGCAGGUAAUAUUGCGAAUGCAGCUCGGUUACAGUGUACGCAUUAAGGUUACACCGUGUCUUGCAGAGGCUUCGCGAGUCUCAUUGUGUUUUCGCUCGAAGGGUAAAUAUGUUCUCCUUACUCUUCUUUGCUUUCCUUUUUUGGUAUGUAUCCAACGUACUCGUCUUAAUCUUAAGUAUGCCUGGAUCUAGUUGGACUGGAUAGUUUCCUUUCAUUAAAUUAUUCUUUUAGGAUAAAUUAUUCUCUUGAUAUAUCUUACAUGAAAUUCUAAGACCUCUAUUUUUGGUUCUCUCAAAAUCAGAUAUUGGGGUAAGUUGUAACAAACUCUUUUUGAGGAGGCAACUAAAUGUCUUUUGUCAGAAGUAGGAUGGAGUAAUGUAAAGGGGUUAAGCAUGAUUAGCCUUUGGAAUCUGUUAUAAGUGCGAUCUCAUGAGACCCAACUAUGACUCAAAACUGAAAGUAUUCUUCCUGCUAUCCAAGGUGUUGAUGCUCUCAUUCCUUAGAGUGUUCUGUGCGGAUUAAAGUUCAGCAAUUGUAAAAAUGUACAUAUGAAGUUUUUUUUUUGCUUUUUUCUUCAAAUAAAUGCACUAUGAAGGUUCAUUCAGCAACAAAUUGAUCAUAAUCUCUCGCUUGAUGAGUAAGGGAGUUCUGUGAGAAAAUAUUGUCUCGUAUUUUGUAGUUGCACUGGAAAAAUAUUCAAUUGUUCUAUAAAUGCAUAAUAUAUUGGUUUGUAGCUUGAUCAUUUGAGUUACUUAUUUCUUGUUGUUUUAAUUUAUUUUGUAGGCACUGGAUAUGAGAAGUGGCAUCCUAUCACCUAACCACGUAAGAAGAUCACCAGAUAGAGAUAACAAUACAGAUCAUGCUUAUACUCCACUAUUGCUAGAAUUUAUUAUAGUUAUUUCCUUUUGUUAUGAUGAGUGGAUGUAAAAUGUUGCUCCUUGAAAUUUUAAUACAUUUUAUGAUGUAAUUUGGAAUUGCUUAUUCUGUUUAUAUACUCCUAUAUAUUAUGAAUGAGUCUUUAGUUAAUUAAUCUUUCUUUUAUAUGUAUCAAAACUUUAUAAAGUAAUACACAACUUUUAAUGCGUUGGGCAGAG
rnacentral:lncRNA from 1 species